AUACCAAAAGUUGGCCACCGUCUUCAAUUUUACGCGGUCAAGGCUGAGAAUUCAUUCCCCACUGGAAAAAGCUACAGGCGCCGCGGAAAAUUGUGCUCUACAAGUCAUGUAUUGGUAGAGCUUGCACGGAAACGCGGCACACAAAAAGGGACACAUGCGAUGCGCUCGUGUCUGUUCACCUAAUCCUGAGGAACUCCUGGGAAAAUAUAGGGACAUGUCAAACGGCAAACGACGAGGGUAACUAAGGCAGUCGGGUUUAAUUCCGGAUAAAUUUACAGCCACUUCUGGGCCAGGCAUGGAGGGCGAUUAUAACCCGG